rnacentral:sRNA from 1 species
UUUGGGCUCAACGGAAAACCGGAUUCCAUUUCCAAACUGAAAUAGAUUAUGACACUUCCGAAGCGUUCGUCUCUGCUUGCUUGCUUUUUGGUUAAUGCCCGUUUCACGUCUCCAUCACAGCCCCGUGAUUUACCAUCCGGGAGAAAAGAGCCAAGUGGACUCCUUGCCUCCCGAUUGCUAGAAAUACAGCAUUACAUAUAUUUGAGAAACCUAAAUCACUCUGAGACCAGAAGAAGAAGAAGAAGAAAAAAAAACACUCAAGUAUUGAUUUAAGCGCAUCUUUCUGCAACAUACCUCCCCGCACAUGCCGGGGAACAUGAAGUGCCCCAUAAAUAUUCUGAGGACCACUCAUUUUCUAGACUUCUGUCACCCCGUGCUGCAGAGUCGUUCAUCCCCACGUGCUCCCAAGAUUUCACACUGCCAGCAGCCCAGGGAAGCAAGCCUGUGCUAAGCACACUGCUGAGAACUGCUUCCAGCCUUGUGGACGACCACCACCCCCAGGCAACUUCUAAAGACAAAGAUGCUAAGUGAUAGGUUGUCUCCACCACAUGGAAAGUUCCAAGAGGUUCAGUUAUGUGUUCAUGUAUGUGCAUGCACAUGUGGAAGCCGGAUACCAACCUCACCUCCUUUCUUCAACUGCUGACCAUGCUUUUCGGGGGGGGGGGGGAUUGGGAGGGACAGGAUCUGUUAGUGAAACUAAACUGAGUGAUUCGGCCAGCGUGGCUGAUAAAGAGGGCCCCAGAGACCCGCCUCUCUCUGCCUCCCCAUUCCUCAGUGCUGGAAUGAUAAGCACACCUCCCACGUCCACCUUUUCACGUGGGUUCUGAGAAUCGAGUCCUCACGUGGACACAGCAAGCACUUACCGACUGAACGGUCUCCCCCGCCCUGAGCUUGGAUUUUAGUUCAUCAGUUCUCUAAUAGCCUCCUGGGACCUGGAAGAGUUCAUUACUUCAGGUUCUUCGGAGUGUGGGGUAGUCCUGUGUCCCGGGUCAUGUCACAGAGCACAUGAAGGUGAUGUUGUGAAAUUAGUCUUAUCACUAGAGUACAGAGCUGUGAGUUCUGGGAACGGAAAGGACCCAGAGCCGUGCCUUUCUCAAACCAGCAGGAAUGAGUCCCAAGUGGCAGUGCCAGGGGUGAGAGACAGAAAAAGUAGAAAUGACAAAAACAAAAGCAAUAGCAGGAACCAGGAGCUCCUGUGUAAGCGAUGACUCAUUCCAAGCAAGUUUAUUAAGAAGUACCGUGUCAUAUAUACUAUUUACAGGGGGGAAAUGGCCAAGGUCAACAGGGAGCUAAGACAGACAAUCUUGGCAAAGAAAAUAUCAUGGCCCGGUGGUCGGGGUGGAGGGAUGGGGGUUGCCCAGAAACCAAACCUUGGCUCCUCUGAGGCACUGGCUCAGUCCUAGACCUCCCUUCUGACAACAUGGCCGGGGAGUCAUGGGGAGAGCCAGAUUGCCAGAAAGCACAACCUCGGUUCCUCUGAGGCACUGGCUCAGACCGAGCCCACUGCUGGACAAGGACACAGAAUGAAAGUUCCCUAAAGGGCCUCCGAGAAAGUCUGGGGUUGGUGUUGCUCUUCGCACAGCCCUUUCUUCCCAGGGAAGACAGUCAGCUUCUGCUCUCGGGAGAGCCAGUCAAGGUCCUCACAGAGAAUCUGCUCCGUGUUGUAUAGAGAAGAGCUUGAUGACCAGAGUUGUUGAAGGUACGACCAUGGCCGAACAGACCCCGUGGCUAGGUAAGAUGGGUUUCGGGUGUUCUGACCUUCAGUCAGUAAUCCGAGAGAUGAAGCUGUGGAAGCCAGAAGAAGGGACUCAAGAAACAAAAGCUGAAUAUUUACAUCGAGAAUCCAGGGCGUGGAAGGCAAACUCCCACUGAAGAUCUGGGGGAGCUUUUAAGCCUCUGACAGAAAAGCCAGGUAAAAAGUAAUGUUAGAAGACAGCUCUGACUGGCAUGGUGUCUGCAUGCUCCAGAUCCCCUCUGUCUACCGGGAAGCAGAUAUCGAGAGGCCUCGUGAUGUCCAAUAUGUGCGCAGGAGUUUGUUUUAAAAUGAUUCUAGAAAAAUAUCCAGGAGCUUACGUGGAAAAGAAAGAUUUCCUUUUCUUUUCUUCCCUCCUUCAAAGUUCCAUCAGCAUCAGGCAGACUCCCGAAGCACACUUCAAACUAAUGCAUUAUCAACGAGUAUACCCGAGACUAAAUUCGUCUUGGAUUGCAGCCACUCGAAGCAUAAAUUACCUUGCAGUCUCCUAUGCUUUAAAGAGUGCUUAAAAGCUUAAAACAGAAACAAGAACAGCGCCCCUGCAGGUCCUUUCACGUGACUCUAGGCUGUACCAGGUUGACAUAAAACCAGCCAGGACACCAGCAUCUGAGCCAAGCGGGGAGACUGCAGAUGAAGACCCGAGACUCUGAGAAAUGACGCAGUGGACUGUUGGGUGACAGUCUUUUCCUGAGGACAUGCAACACACACAUCUAUGGAGCCUAGAAAGGGAGCCAGCCCAUGGUGCCUUUAACACCAGUCUUCAGAGGCUGUGAGAGCCCUGUACGCAGUCUCCAACCGGUGAUGGAGUUCCCCAGUGGACCCAGUCUUUAGGACGAUGUGAUACUCACCCAUGACCCCCUGGGUAAGUUACUGUUCAACUCCUGCUUCCCACCCCACCAAGCCUUGCCUCUCUCCUAGAAGCCUCCAUGUCUGGUCUUAUCUCUGAAGUCCCUUCAUCCAAUAGCUCCUGAGGGCUUCCCCUGCUCCUAUGGGCAAAAGGAGUCCCAUCGGGAGAAGCAGCUAGUAAAUGCCCCACAGGAUCCUUGCAAGGAUAGUUUAAAAAAAAAAAAAAGAGUAUGCAGAGUGACACCGGGAAGUGUCUCCAAGGCUGUGCCCCAUCUCUCCCUCCCACCCUGAACUCCUUGCAACACACCAGUGUCUAGAAGCAGAAUCAUGUGUCCUGAAUACUAAUGUGUUUAUUCACCACCCCCUUCACCCUCACUUCUUCCCUACACUCACUCCCAGGGGACACCAAGCUCCCACACUUGUGCUGCAUCACCUGCAGCGGUGAAUGUGGUCUUCUGGUAGCAGCUUUCUCCCUGAUGAACUAUAGGUCACUUAUUAUCCUUCUAAGGUAAGGACCAGAUCCUCUGAGGCAACAAAAGCACAGAAUCAUCUCCCUACACUGGCAUUUUGGAGGAGGUAAGUGACAUUAAGAGUUACAAUUUGUCCCCAUCCCUCAUGUUCCUUUCUUCGUUGCCUUAUAAGGUACCGAGUCCCCAUCAGAACAAGACAGCGAGUACUGUCUCAAGGAAAUUCUAGGAACAAAUGACCACUCUGAGGAUCCUGGGGAUACAUUAUCCUGCAAGACUGCGCGAGGAAGUCCUUGUGUAAAAGUCCACAGAAGGUGGACAGAUUUGCGCGGAAAUACAGACACAUUCAGAAGAAAGAUCAUGUUUUCCAGGACACUGAACAGUAAUGUUCACCAAUUUUCUCUUGGGGCAUCCCUUAAGCUACACUCCAACUUACUUGCCUGGUUUCAACAUUUAAGUCUGAAGAAAAAAAAAAACAUUCAUUUCAAAAAGAAAAGCAAAGGGAGAAAGUUCUCAAUCCACUCUCCAUGAGCAUCCAAGUCUCCAGCAAAAAUUGCCCACUGGCUGUUUUCCUAGAGGAGGAGACAUUUUGAGGUCCCAUCCAAUAACCCAAGGAUUAAGAUCACAGUCUCUGGCCAAGAAUGUCCUAACAGCACACGAAUGUGUAUGUACCCAUGGGUUCACUCACUCAAGUGAACGUUUACCCUCUGUGACAUUGAACUUCACUGUCGAUGGGAACCACGUAGGAGACACAUUUUUGAGUGUGUCUGUAAAGGCGUUUGCAAAGAGGUGCCACUGAAGAGAGAAGGCCCACCCUGAGGUGGGGACACCAUCCCACAGACUGAGAAAAGGGAGAAAAUGAGCAGGACACCAGCAUUCACCUCUCUCUGCUUCCUGACCACACAGCCAACAUGGCCAACGGUCACACGAUCUGAUCACCACGGAAAAAGUGGCUCUCACCUUUUCUACACCAUGGUGGAUUGGCCCCUCAAAACAAGCUCAGAUGAACUCACUCUCUCCCUCUCUCCCUCUCUCUCUCUCUUUCUCUCCCCCUCUCUCCC